CCCACCCAGCUGUACUCAGAUACAUUUUCUGGGGUUUCUGAGGUCACCAGCUUGGCAGUGUGAGUGGGAUCUGCUGGUUGACUGUAGCCCCGAAUCUGCUGUCGUGCAGAGCUGGCUGCCUUGCUCACCACCCUAUCGAAAGCAGAGUUCUCUGACUGAAGGGACAGGUAAUGGACUGGCACUGGCUGCUGUCUCCUCUGAGUUAAGGACUCUGGGGCAAGGUCAGGACUGCUGCGAGCACUCUCCUCUUUCACCAAUUUUUCUCUAACUUUAACUCUUUAAGAAAGAAAAAGGAUUUAAGUUGCAAUGUGGAGUAAUUGCUAAACAGGAAGAAAGCAUGCUUGGGUCAUAGAACACUACUGGAUGGAAACCAACUCACAGAGAGAACAACUUGUAUAAAAGAAAUUUGGGGGUUUAAUCUCAGAAACUCAUCACUUGCUAAGUGAACGAUUUUGAGAUUAUUUGAUGCAAUGCUAAAUGUGUCCAAGUUCAUGAAACAGCCAACCUGGAAGUAGAGACUGCAUUAUCUCAUAUCUGGUGAGCCAAGCCCUGCACUGAAUGACCAGAACACUCAUACUCCAGCACCCAGACAGCAGAGGGGAGAUGGCCCCUUCCCUGUGCGAACCAGCCCGCCCAGGCUGAACACUUACCUGGAUCUUGCCUCAGUGGGGAAUGAUGGGUCACCAGCAGAGAGGCUUGACUGUCGAGGAGAGGAGUGGGACAUGGUAGGCAUUUGCUUUGGGGACCUUGGCACAUCACUGAAGGAGCAGUCUCCUGCAGAGAGUGGGAAGGAAGACGAACUCUCCACCUUUGGGGGCGGAUCCUGGGCUUGCUCGGGGGUGCUCCGCUCUCGAUCUCGUCUUUGGUUCUCCACAUUAAGCAGCACCUCUGUGUGGGAAACACCAUCACUCCCGUGGAGGCCAUAGUCCUUGGAUUCAGCCACAUAGGUCCUGAACCCCAUGAUCUCAGUCCUAGGGUAUGGAGAACUCGAAUCUUUGCUUGACUCUUCCCAUUUGUCACUUUUUCCUCCCCUUUUCUCUACUGCAUCGGGAUCUUUCCUGGACUUGGCAUAUCGAGCUGGAGAUUCAGAGUCAGCUUCAGAAUCCAGAGUGAGCCCAUAUUUUUCUGCCAGCUGCCGUCUCCUCUCUGCUUUGUACCUCGCAAUCCUUUCAGCCUUGGAUUCAAGCCCCUGGGUGUCCAUGGUACCUGAACCACAGGAUGAGUCACCAUGGAUGCCUGAAGUUUCUGUGCAAUGCUUGGACUGAGUCUGCUUCUCUAAAGAAGAAUCGGAAGUGUCUUCCUCUUCAUUUGAUCGGCCUACAAGAAGAUCACAUGGAUGUUGACACAGUAAAGACACAUUCACUCUUCUCUGUCCUACACACAAUGCACACUGAAGCACCCAUCUUGGGAAGGACCAGUUUCUCACGUGGCCAGUGACCAAGGACUUACCUGAGGUGCUGAAGAUCUGUGGUGAAAUAUACAAAGCAUGAGUGUUCUACAGGUUCCCCAAGCUGAGAAAACCACAGCCUCAACUAAAGCUCAGUCCCUCACUCCUAGAGCUCCUCAUUCUUGCUGCUCAGAGUUUAUUUCCCCUAUUUAUUUUCUUUGCUUUUGAGUUUAAUAUUUCAUGUGUGAGGUCAGAGGACUAGUUCAGAGCCCUCUGGAAAAGAUAAAAGAUAUCAAACUUCUGUAAUUUGACAAGUGACAGAUUGUGGUUUCAGGAUCUGAUAGUAACCAUAACAAUAAAGACCCAUAUC